rnacentral:rRNA from 1 species
UACGUAGGGGGCAAGCGUUGUCCGGAAUCAUUGGGCGUAAAGAGCGUGUAGGCGGUCCGUUAAGUCGGCUGUGAAAUUCCAGGGCUCAACCCUGGGAUGCCGGCCGAUACUGGCGGGCUAGAGUCCGGAAGAGGUGAGUGGAAUUCCCGGUGUAGCGGUGAAAUGCGCAGAUAUCGGGAGGAACACCAAUGGCGAAGGCAGCUCACUGGGACGGUACUGACGCUGAGACGCGAAAGCGUGGGGAGCAAACAGG